GGUGGGCUGACUAUUCUUACUAUCUAAUCUGGCCCCUUCGAUUCGAGCUCCUGGGACUAGAGCACCGUGCUAUACCUGCCAGAGUGGACUGCAAUGAUUGACAGUAUCUGGCUCUGGGGUCCCGGUGCUCUAGUCUGCAAUGGAGAUCGGCCAUGUGAUUAUUCCUUAUUAAAUUGACGGGCGACUGUGACCGUGACUGGUGCAUAUCCACAGCGGUGCAGGCCUGCCUUUGACACGUGGCUAUCCUUUCAGAUUUAUCCGGGCCGGUUUAGGGCCGUUUCGAUUGAGACGAUCAGGUUCUGAAAUAAUAAGCCUACAAGAAGCCCACUUGAUGAUCUAGGCCCGGCCCAGCCCAGGAUCGAUUUUUUUUAUUUGGUCCCAAUCUUACCCGGGCCGGACCGGCCGAGGGGACAACUUACUGACUUACUGUGAAGUAACAAAACUCUUUCUCGUAGUUUUCAAAAACUCAAAUGGAGGCGGUUUGUUAGGAAGAAAAGUAGAGCGGUUAUGAGAAAGGGUGAGAAUUGAAACGACGGAAAACGAAUCGGGAAAGAGAAAUUGCAUUUGAAAUUCAAAUCCUAAAAAUUGUUACUGAAGUUGAAUUGAAAAUGAUAGGAGAUCGGAAGAGUGGAGAGGAAUCGCCCGCACGGCGGUGCAGGGGGCUGAUGGCGUCGGCGUGAGAGGCAGAGGUAGACAGAGACGAUGCUUGCGAGCCGCGAUGAACGUGGCAAGGUUGGCGGUGCGGACUUCUCCUGCGAGGCAAAUUUGUAGCUCUCGAGUGUUUCCGACAGUUUCUCGGCAUACUGUGGCAGGGGAUCCCAAAGUUCCAGCUUCCUCAUCGUUUGGAUGGACAAAUAGAACCCACUGGGAUGGUGGGGGUUAAAGAAAAGAAUGAAUGACCUUACCAAAAUUAACAAGAAGGCGUAUUAAGUUUAAAAAAAUGGUUUGGGUGGUUAACCAUCUUCGUUUUUUAGGUUUCCAUUAUCAGUUUCAUUCAGUUUAUGUACUGUAUUUAUUUUAUGUUGUUUUAGAUUAGUAUAGGAAUUGUUUACUGAAGUUUGGGAAAAUUCCUGAUUUCUUUUGGUUAAUAGUAUAAAAUUAUGAAUUAAAUCACUUCUU